CGCCUCUAGUCUACCUUAUUAGAGGUCCAUUCUGCCCUAUGCCUUACGAGGUAAAUGGCCGCGGUAACCUGACCGUGCUAAGGUAGCAUAAUCAUUUGCCAUUUAAUUGGUGGCUAGUAUGAACGAAUAUACGAGAUCAGAACUGUCUCUUGUUUAUUACUAAAAAUUGACCUUCAAGUGAAGAGACUUGACUUAAAUAAAAAGACGAAAAGACCCUAUAGAGCUUUAUUUUAACUUAAUCUACUCUCUUAAGUGAAAAUUUAGUUGGGGCAACUAGAGGGAAACUAAAACACCUCUAAAAUAAAAUUAAGAUCCAGCAACGCUGAUUAAAAGAAAAAGCUACCUUAGGGAUAACAGGCUAAUCCUGUUUUAGAGACCAUAUUGACAACAGGGCUUGGCACCUCGAUGUUGGCUCAAGGACAACCCCCCGAUGCAGCAGUCAGGGAAGGUAGGUUUGUUCACCCUUUAAUUCCUU
rnacentral:rRNA from 1 species